rnacentral:rRNA from 1 species
AGUAAAAAAUUGUAUUUAUUAUAGAUUAUUAUUAUUGUGAAAGAUUUCUUUUAAAUAUUUUAAAGAAGAUUUAAAUUUUUGUACCUUGUGUCUCAGGGUUUAUUUAAUUAAAUUUGUAUAAUUUUUUCUCGAAUUUAUAAGAGUUAAUUAUGUGUUUAUUUUACUGUUAAAUAAUUAUUUAUAACAUAUAGUUGGAAAUGAAACGUUAAUCGUUUAUAAAUAUAUCUAGUUGUCUAAGAAAUAAAUUUAAUUUAGAAUUAUUUAUAAUUAAUAAUUUUUUAUAAUUAAUAAUUAUUUUAGUUUAAUUGCUUCAGGGAUAAGCUGGAAGUAUUAUUUUUAUUAUUUAAUUUUUUAUUUAGAUUUUAAGGAUUAGAAUUUUUCAUAAUUAAAUUUGUGUAAUAAUAAAUCUAAUUAUUUUAAUUUUUAUUUUAAUAUAAAUAUUUUAUUGGGCUGAAUAAUUGAAUUUUAAAUUUUUUGUAAUAAUGAUAAAAUUAGUAAAAUUUAAUUUAAAUUUAAAAAAUGGUUUAAUAUAAGGAUAAUUAAUUCGGCAAAUAAUUUUUCACCUGUUUAAUAAAAACAUGGCCUAUUGAUAAUAAUUUUAGGUCGUACCUGCCCACUGAAAAUUAAAUGGCCGCAGUAUUUUAACUGUGCUAAGGUAGCAUAAUCAUUAGUUUCUUAAUUAGAAGCUGGAAUGAAAGGUUUGAUGAAAAAAUAACUGUCUCUUUUUUAAUUAGUUUGAAUUUUAUUAUUAAGUAAGAAAGCUUAAAUUGUUUUAAGGGACGAGAAGACCCUAUAGAGUUUUAUAUUAAAUAUUUAAAAUAUAUUUGGUAUUUAUUUCUUAAAGAAUUUAAUAUUUAGUUGGGGUGACAGAAAAAUUUAAUUAACUUUUUUGCUUUAAAACCAUUAAUUUAUGAAUUUUUGAUCCAUUAUUAUGAUUAACAGAAUAAAUUACCUUAGGGAUAACAGCGUAAUAUUUCUUUGGAGUUCAUAUUUAAAAAAGUGAUUACGACCUCGAUGUUGGAUUAAGAUAAAUUAUCGGUGCAGUAGCUGAUUAAUUAGGUCUGUUCGACCUUUAAAAUCUUACAUGAUCUGAGUUUAAACCGGUUUAAGCCAGGUUGGUUUCUAUCUUUAAAUAUAUAUAAUUUUUUAGUACGAAAGGAUUAAAAAUUAAUUAAAUUAAUUAUUUUUGAAUAAC